rnacentral:lncRNA from 1 species
AAGGGUAGUUAUAGUCCACCCUCAAGACCCUCUUGUCUGCCUUCUUAGGCAUGAUUCAGAGUAUGUCUAAGAUUCAAAGACUAUGACAUCUGGGUCUGUCGCAGAGAAUUAUAAGGAGCGGCAGCUACCCUCCGUCAAGCCUAUAGAGAUCCUUAUCCAAGAGCAGGGAGCAGCGGCUGUUAUCUUAAAGGUACCCAUACAAAUUUUGCGUUUUUUUAUGGUAUCUCAGUGAAAACUUAAUGAAACUCAAAAACCCCUGCACUCCGGAUCACAGAAUUUUAGGAGGCUUGUAGGAGGCAAAAUUUGGAGAUGAUUCAUUGAAGAGUCAGUUAAUAAUCGCUAAUUACUUAAUUGCAGUAUUUUUUGUGGGAAAUUCAUAACACCCGUGCCGCAUCACAUUCGUGCCUCAAAAUUUUGCCUUCAAACGGCCAUUCAUAUUGAAUAUAAAUGGAUUUCACUUUGCAAUUCAGAACCACAAUAUCUAGCUCAUGUGUAAAAUCACACAUGUGUAUAGGGAAAUGGAUAGUACGUACGUUGUUUCUAAACUGAGCCAGGAAUCAAGGAUCAAAGUUAUUGUUACAUUCAAGUUCACCACGCAGCAGCAGUGUCAGUGUGUAUGUUUACAUAGAUAGAGCCUAUAUUCUCCAAACUAGCUGUACACUAUUUUGUCUGAUUCCUUGGGCAGAAUCUCAGAUUAAUCUUGCAACACCUACUAAUUUUCCAAUUUGUUUUUUUCCAAUAACAACUAGUCUUAAGGAAUCUUCAAUUUAUUGUGUUUACUAUCCAUUUGUUGUUUUCAUUGAAGUGCAUGCCUUACAUAUUAUAACCUCAUCUACUCUUUCUUGUAAUGAUUAAUAAUGAUACCUAAUAAUGAUAAUAAUAAUAAGUCAUGAGUCUUUCAGGUUGGCACUUUAUUACUCUUUUAAUCAUGGUUACCAAAAUUAGGAAGGAAAAAGAACGUAGACGGCUUAAGUACCAAUUAAAAAAGCAGAAACUUGCUGAAAGAUUGCUGUUAGACCACUCAGUCGCAGCUCCCCCUCCUGAAGACGAAAGUACUCAAAGUGGACAUCAAGUGUUCAGAAACGAGCUUUCAUGUCGCAGUCCUAGAAGCUUCGCCUCAAUGCCGAAAGCCUCGGAGAAUGUCACAGAUAACGUUCAUGUUGAAGAUCUAAUUGAGGAAGUGAAAAAGAGACCAGCACUGUGGGACAGUAGCCUGCCGGAAUCUAAGAACAGAAGUAUUAAGUAUCGUGCAUGGGGUGACAUAUGCUCUGCACUAUUAGAGCAUUUUUCACAGAAGACCAUCUUAGAAAAGGAAAAUAUUCAGAAAAAUUUGUUAACAAAAUGGCACGAAAUUCGAGACAACUAUGUUAAGCACAAGAGGAAAGAGCAGUCGGAAUUGGACGAAGCAAGACAGACAGGAGCCCCUUUGAUUCUGCCUCAACGCUACAUUUAUGCUGAUAAUCUGACAUUUCUGGAUCAUUCUAUCUCGCCACAGGCCUCUGCGGAUUCCCCGGAUGUUGAGAAGAUUGUCAAAGAGCACCCAGAGAGUGAGGAGAUUGUUUUCAAGGAGGAGAAGAUCGACUAUGAGGCGGAGCCAAACUUCUCAGAGCUCUCCAUUAAAAAGGAACUCAUACUGGAAGAGCCAGGCACCUGGCAAGGCGAUCCGUGCUCAUCCUCGACUGUCGCUUGCGACCCCCCAGUCGAUCAGGAAUCACCGGAGACAACGUUCCAGCCCCAGGGGUGGCAUCAAGGGACGGUCGACUCGGAGCCAGGAGGAACGCGAAGACGCGUUGAAGAUGCCAACGGCGAUGCUGCCUUUUUCGAAUCUCUUCUACCUCUGAUGAAAGGGUUUGACAGUCAGAAAAGGCUCCGGUUUCGUAUGCAUGUCAUGUCUGCUCUUGCGCGUUUCUGCGAUCCCAAUUACUCGCAUUCAGAAAGUGAUUAAACUACAGUGUCAAGAACCCUGAAUAACCAGGAUUCAUCAGGGAAUCUGUUCCAGAAACGGAAAAAUCAAGAAUUCCAGACACCAUGGUUUACCCUGAAAUAGACUUACAUGUUUCAUUAAAUCUCAUACAGUCGUACAAAGCUUAAGGUGGAUGAUUUCUAAUCAGAUUGUUGUUAGUUUUUGGCAUAUUUGUAGGAAAUUAGAUGUUUCCUAUGAUGAUUUGCAAUUAUCUUUCGCAGCUCAUGUAAUGGGUUCCUCUGUUGACAAAACGCUUGGAGAGCCAUUGUAAUUUUUGAGUUAUGAUUGCUGAAGACAGUUUGUUUUCCCCUCUGCCAAAAAAUGGUUACACUUAGGGGAAAACGGACCUAUUUGUACCAUGGUGGAGGGAAUAGCCAAAGGUUGACUUGGCUCUUGAUGUACCUGAGGUUUUAAUUUCCUCGCUUGUAGGAGGCCAUCAUCUUCGGUUACUGCUGCCUUCUCUUUUAACUGAUCACACUCUUCCGGAUAAGCUUUGAGGGCAUAUUCAUAUGUUGCUGUGAACAAACAAAACCAAAAAAUAUUACAUAUUCCUCCUUUGCAGUAUUUUAGGCAUUGAAAACAUGAGAUAAGUAUGUUGCCUGUGUAGGUAUUUGUGACUAAUGCCCACUUUUGGAAUGCUCUUGUCUUAGUGUUUCAUUCCAUGGUACCCACUGCUGACUUGUAUAAUGGAUUUUUUCCUAAUUAUCAAGAGAGAUGUCGGAGAAAAAAGAGAAUGGCAGUUUGGCGACUAGAUCAGAACAAAUUUCACUUCAUGACAACUUUUUACCAUGAUGUAUUAGACUUAAAAAUGUUUAAAUUGUAAAAAUUUUGUUAUUUUUGUCAGUCUUUAAAAAAGCUGAUCACUUUAAUAAGAUGAUAGUGUACCAUUGGCCACUGUGAAGGCUUUCUAUUGUGUUCUCCUAUUGUCUUUUUAUUUUUUUAAUUAAAUCAUUUUGCAUCAGAUAUUUCUUUAUUUUAUCUUGACUCGUAACUUUCUUUUCUGGACAGAUUAACCCUAAAUUGGUCUAACCUAAUGAAAAGUCGUUUAAUCCUCUUCUAUUUGGCAUUUCUGAAACAUAAAUCUAAGCAACUCUGAAACUUUUUUGGUGAUUAUAUCCUUCAUAAUUUGGAGCAAAUUCAAAGAAAGUUCAGAGGUAUUUACUAGUCAAGUCCUCUUUUAAAAAGAUAUAACAUCUUCCCUUUUAACUCUAACUAAUUGUGAGGAGCAUCAAAUUAUCAUUUUAUGAGGCCUCCCAAAAACAAUCCCCCUAGAUGCAUUUAACAUCAGUCGGAAUAAGAGUUUUUAAUACUGCGGGGCUAAGGAAAAAUGCUGUAUUAGUCUUCGGCCAAAGGCUUAGAUAAAUCAUAAUAUCCGGGAAAAUUGAAGCUCAUUUUUCUCCUAAUUAUUCAGACAUUUUUGCUCGUAUGUAGAUCUGAAGUGUCUGAAAAUGUUCAGGAAAAUUAUUCAUGAUUUACUCUUUUUCCUCAAAAAUAAGUAUUUUCUGAGAGGAAAUUCGGCAUUCUCCCGUAGCACGGCAGAAUAGACCACCUCGAAGAACCACGUAUCUCGGUUUGCGACGUUACAGACUUGAACGUCCUACUUUAUUUUUUAAAUGGAAAACCACUCGAAAGUAAUUUUUAAAAACUUUCGUGAUUUUUCUUCUCUGUGCGAAGGAAAUUCUGCGAAAAUUUCGAGGAAUGAUGUCGAUUUGUCCUCCCCUAAAAAAAUAAAAUACAUAUGAUCGAAGAUUUUGCAACGCCGCUAACCGAGAUUCGUGGUCGUGGAUUUUUACCGUCGACCUGCUCUUGUAGGUAAUGAAAUCUCUUUAAAUGGAAAAAAAAUCGCCUCCAACGAUGACUGAUACAACUAUUCGGCCUCCGCAGCUACGCUAGGAAGUAUCCUCUCGCAAUGAAGGCGUUUUUAUUGCACCGUCACUCGUUCAUCACACCAUCUUCUCUUAGCAACCGUAUUUCCCGCCGACACUGUUGAUUGGGGUUUUCUUAAUUUCUUUGGCCUUGUCUCCACGGGACGUUUUCAUGGGAUUUUUCCCAAGUUCGAAUCGCAGGAAUGAAACUUCUGGGAUUUUUCCCAGUUACCGUCUCCACGGGACGGGGCUCUUUGCAGUCCUGCGACUAGUUUGCGCGGGAAGAUAAAUUAGUUAAGUCGAGUAUUUGACCGGGAUUAUAAUAAUAAUUGCACUCAAUUGACAAUUAGACACAUUAUUUUAACUAAAAAAAACAUUAAGAAUGGAGUAAUGAAUAAUAUAUCGCACAAUUCGUUUUCACUUCUUCUUCUUCUC